AACGAACGCUGGCGGCAUGCCUAACACAUGCAAGUCGAACGAGACCUUCGGGUCUAGUGGCGCACGGGUGCGUAACGCGUGGGAACCUGCCUUUAGGUUCGGAAUGCUUCAGUGAAAUUUGACCUAAUACCGGUGGAUGUAUUCGGACAUAAGAUUUCUCGCUUUUUGAUGGGCCCGGGUUGGUUUCGCUGGUUGGGGGGGUAAAGGCCUACCAAGGGCACGUUCCAUGGCUGGUCUGUGAGGAUGAUCAGCCCCACUGGGACUGAGACACGGCCCAGCCUCCUACGGGAGGCAGCGGUGGGGAAUAUUAUACAAUGAGCGAAAACCUGAUCCAGCAAUGCCGCGUGAGUGAGGAAGGCCUUAGGGUUGUAAAGCUCUUUUACCCGAGAUGAUAAUGACAGUAUCGGGAGAAUAAGCACCGGCUAACUCCGUG
rnacentral:rRNA from 1 species